GGUGCGAUAGUUCAGUUGGUUAGAAUAUCGGCUUGUCACGCCGAGGGUCGCGGGUUCAACUCCCGUUCGCACCG
rnacentral:tRNA from 1 species